rnacentral:lncRNA from 1 species
UAAAGUUAAGUUAUGAUCUUUUUUUUUUAAUUGAUUGAAGUAUGUUAUUUGUUUUAUUCAUAUCAUUUUGAGAACUCCCUUUUUCGAUAUAAAUAUUUGUUUUAUUAAUUUCGGUAUUGUUAAUACUAGAAUUAUUGUUAAUAGAGAUGUUAGAAUCAAUAUCCUUAUUGUAGUUGUUGUUGUUGUAGUUGUUGUUGUUGUUGUAGUUGUUGUUGUUGUUGUUGUUGUUGUUGUUGUUGUUGUUGUUGUUGUNNNNNNNNNNGUUGUUGUUGUUGUUGUUGUUGUUGUUGUUGUUGUUGUUGUUGUUGUCGAUAUCAGUAUUAGGGUUUGUGAUAAUUCCAGUGCUGUUGUUAGUACUAGUAUUAUUUAUCGUAUCACUGUCAUCGUUUAUGUUUUUUUUUCUGGCAUUCCUCAUUCUUCUCUUCAUCUAUUUUCUCUUUCUCUUUUUCUUUCUCAUCCCCUUUCUCCUUUUCUACAUGUAAUCCCCUUUUCUCUUCACUUGAUCCUAUUUUUCUACUUUAACAUGAACGCAUAUUUUAUCAUUUUUUACUAUAGUAUUAUUUAAACCACUGAAUGCUAUAUUUUCAUUUUUAAUAUUAAUUAACAAAUUUUCAUUUGUUAUGCCCUUUUCACAUUCAGCAUUUUUUUUUAUUUCUUUCACAUUUUCGUUCAUAUUUUCUUUCAUAUUUUCGUUCACAUUUUCGUUCAUAUUUUCGUUCACAUUUUCGUUCAUAUUUUCGUUCACAUUUUCAUUUUCAUUCUCCUUCUCCUUUUCGUUUUCAUUUCCCUUUUUAUUUUCUUUCUCAUUUACAUUUCCAUUUUUAUUUUCAUUAUCUUUUUCGUUUUCAUUUUCAUUCUCGUUUUCAUUCUCCUUUUCAUUUUCAUUCUCCAAUUUUUUUAAUUUACGUUUUGGAGUUCUUUUUUUUGAAGCCGUAGUAGUAAUAUCUGAAAAAUCUUUUUUUCUUUUUUUUUUUUCUUUUUUUAUUUGUUUCUUUAAUAUAUAAUGAGAGUUUUUUAAAUAAAAUAAAUAAAUAAAAAAAGUAUAUUCA